rnacentral:rRNA from 1 species
GAAACUCAAAUGAAUUGACGGGACCCGCACAAGCAGCGGAGCGUGUGGUUUAAUUCGUUGCUACACGGAGAACCUUACCUGGGUUUGACAUAUAGGUUGUAGGGAACUGAAAGGGACCGACCUUCGGGAGCCUAUACAGGUGUUGCAUGGCUGUCGUCAGCUCGUGUCGUGAGAUGUUCGGUUAAGUCCGCUAACGAGCGCAACCCUCGUCGUAUGUUAUAUGUGUCAUACGAGACUGCCGGUAAAAGCCGGAGGAAGGUGAGGAUGGUGUCAAGUCAGCAUGACCUUUAUAUCCAGGGCUACACACACGCUACAAUGGUCUGUACAAUGGGUAGCCAAGCCGCGAGGCGGAGCCAAUCCUGAAAGCAGGCCUCAGUUCAGAUUGCAGUCUGCAACUCGACUGCAUGAAGCCGGAGUUGCUAGUAACCGCAGGUCAGCAAUACUGCGGUGAAUACGUUCCCGGGUCUU